UUGCUUUUUAAUGUGUAGAGUUUGCAAUUUUAUUUUUGAUAUAAAAAAAGAAAUCAAUUGGUUCUUACUUAGUCAAUAUAGAGUAAUUUUUUUUUGGAGCAUAAUUUUAUAUAAAAAAACAUAUUCAAUGCUGGUUCCUGCAUUACACCUGGCUUCUGGGUUAGGAAAAUGUGCAUUUCAGAUACCAUAUUGUCAUCUUAAUUAGAAGAUGAAAAUGUUGAUUUGCUUGGCGUCUCAUCAAAUCUUUCAGUUGUCUGUGGUGGCGACCUGCGCCACCAUCACCCAAUCAAAG